UGCGAAAACGAAUCAAUGUUGUAAAUAACCCCUAACGACCUGAUAAAUAAGCACAUCCCAGCUAACCCGCCCCUAGCGGUCACAGAGGAAAGUCAAACUGACCUGCAGGUGGCGCUGGCACAACAAAAGCCUUCAGUUCAACUCCAGUUUUCGACUUGUUGCCUGAAGGUGAGCAACUGUGGACCUGGAAGGGACAUCGAUCCAAGCCUAUCAUUUCACAAGAUGAGGAAACUGAGCUCUUGAAAGGUUAUUCUGAUGAUAGAGCAAAUUGACAGGGAAACAUCAAAGGAGAGAAACACUUGUCCUCCAUGCCGAUCUCUGACAACCAGCUUUAAUCCGAUUCUAAAUAAUGAACUACAGAUGUUUCCAAGGCAUAUACAGCAGGAUCAGUCUAUGUUGGAUUGGAAAUAAGAAUAAAUGGGUCCCUCACCACAUAUGGUUUGAGAAGCACUGUAUCUGAGUUCUGCGGCAGAACUCAGAAUGGCAAGAGAUCGCCUUCCUAGUGAGGGCUCAUCACUGACAGUUCUUUUAAUAGCUGGGACUUUUUUCAUAGUGACAGUCAGAGAUUACUUCUAACUGGAGAACACAGCACGAAGGCUAGGACCCAGCAGCCAUCUUUGACUAUGCAGAGGCCUUGAGAAUGCAAGUCAAUGCUAGAAAGAUGGGAGGUCCCUGAUGACGUGGAGAAGCUGUACUAGCUCUCGACUGCCAACCUUUGAGUUCUUCUGAGGAGGAAAUAAACUUUUAUCUCAUUUAUGCCACUGCUUAUCUUGAACUUUUUACUAUAAGGAGCCAGAUGUUAUUUUAAUGGGUAAAAGACAUUACUUAGUCUUCUUUUUUUUCAGUGCAGGGGUUGCAAAAUGCCUAGGUUCAGGUAAGCUCAGAGCAGAGACAUAUAGUGAAUGACAGUUGCUUUAUGGAGAUCUCAAAUACUAUAAAAGGCCAAAACUUUAUGAUAACUUAGUUAUUUUUUAAAGUGGCAAAUAUGCCCAUGAAUUCUGAAACCACUUAUAUGAUAGCCAGUAUAUGCUUUCUUACAGGAGUAAUUAAUUUUUUCAAGCAUAUGUAUAUUUUUCUCCAACUAAAUUGUAAACUUCUUGAGGAAAGAGAUCAAUCUUAAAACAUAAGUUGAUAUAUUUUGGCUUCUAUUUUACUAAUUUUUCACCUACUAACAUUAACAAUUUUAGGUUUUAAAAAGCUAAUCUUUUAACACAAGUAUACAUUUUAAAUAAAAAUGCUUCUUUAGUUAAAAACAUUUUUUUUAAGUGACAGAUGAUUUCAAAAUUGCUGGUAUGCAUGUGAAUAACUUGCAAUCCCUGUGAACAAAGUGACUGUAUUGUAGAAAGAAGACACCUAAAUGUCUAUUUUUAAACUUCAAGGAGACAAUAUUUUUUAAAAAGUAGAAGAUUAAGUUAUGUCUAGUUUUUCUUAAAAUUUUUACCAUUAACAACCACCAGUUAGAAGAAAUAGUGGAAGGCUAUAGCAACAACAAAAAAACUACAGAUGAUAUAGUAGAAGAGCACAGCAAAAACAGCAAACAAAAAAAUAAAGAAUAAAAGACCUAAGAAUGAAUUCAACAAGAUAUCUGCCUAUCUAUUUUAUGACAACUUUAAAAUGCUACUGAGAAACACAAAGAAACUUAAGUAAAUGGAGAAAAACAUGAAUAAAUGUUCUUGAACAGAUAGACUCUACAAUUUCUAUGUUCCCAAUAAAAAUGAUACUGGUGGAAAUUUUAUUUGGGAAAAUGAGAAAUGAGACAAAACUGACUCUAAAGUUCACAUGGCAUAAUAAACAACAAAGGAAAGCCAAAAAAUUUUUGAAAGAGAAGAGAAUUAAGGGGAAACUACUUCUAUCAGACAGUGAAAAUAAAGUGACAAUCAUUAAAAUAGAUGAUACAGGUAUAAAGAUAGAUCACUGAAGGGAACAGAUAUUCAAUAAAUGAAUCCAAAUAUUUACAAAACUACAGGACAUGAUUAAAUAUGACAUCUCAAAUCAGUGGGGAAAAAAGAGAUUAUUAAAUAAAUGAUAUUGGAAAAAUGGGUAGCCAUUUGAAAAAAAAUUAUCUUUUAUCCCUACCUCACACCUUACACCAAGAUAAAUUCCUAAUGUACAAAACAAGACUAUAAAAGUACUAUAAGAAACUAUGGGAUUGAUUUUUGACAAAGGUGCCAGGACAAUUCAAUGGGGAAAGAAUAGUCUUUCCAACAAACAGUACUGCAACAACCAGAUAUUAACAGACAAAAGAAUGCAAUUUGAGCUCUACCACAUAUUAUAUUUAAAAAUUAACUCAAAAUGAAGCAAAGACCCAAAUGCAAGA